rnacentral:rRNA from 1 species
UUGAAAAGAACUUUGAAGAGAGAGUUAAAGAGUACGUGAAACCGUUCAGGGGUAAACCCGAGAAACCCAAAAGUUCGAACGGGGAGAUUCAUCGUCAGCGCCGCUGGCUUCGCGUCGGCCGGCGAUGCUGGCGCGGGUCCGCCGUGUCUCGCCACGGCUCCCGCGCUGGCACGCCGCCGUGCGCCGAUGUCCGGCGCGCGUCGUCGUGCACUUCUCCCCCAGUAGGACGUCGCGACCCGCUGGGUGCCGGUCUACGGCCCGGGACGGACGGCUGCAACGUCGCCGGUGAAACGGCACGCGGCAAGCCCCCGGUCGCCCGGCCGGCUGCCCGGCGGUACGGUGAACGGUACGAGGCCGCGCCCUCGGGCGCGUCGAGCCCGUCGCAAGCGAGCGCCACGGUAGCCCGGAGGUUACGGACCCAGUGCCGUCCCCGGCCCUGGCCCGCUGUUGGCAGUACGGUGCACCUUCGACAGGCCUGCGAGCGCGCGCGCGGUGUCCCGCUCCUCCCUCGCGGAGGUGAGGGCCCGCGCGCGGCACAUACCGGUCGGCGACGCUACCGCUUUGGGUACUCUCGGGACCCGUCUUGAAACACGGACCAAGGAGUCUAACAUGUACGCGAGUCAUUGGGACGAGCGAUACCCAAAGGCGCAAUGAAAGUGAAGGUCGGCCCUCGCCGGCCGACCGUGGGAGGAUGGGCCGCGUCGCGAUGCGGCCCCGCACUCCCGGGGCGUCUCGCCCUCAUCGCGAGGAGAGGCGCACCCAGAGCGUACACGUUGGGACCCGAAAGAUGGUGAACUAUGCCUGGUCAGGACGAAGUCAGGGGAAACCCUGAUGGAGGUCCGUAGCGAUUCUGACGUGCAAAUCGAUCGUCGGAACUGGGUAUAGGGGCGAAAGACUAAUCGAACCAUCUAGUAGCUGGUUCCCUCCGAAGUUUCCCUCAGGAUAGCUGGCACUCGGCCGUUCCCUGGCGGAACGAGAACGAGUCUCAUCCGGUAAAGCGAAUGAUUAGAGGCCUUGGGGCCGAAACGACCUCAACCUAUUCUCAAACUUUAAAUGGGUGAGAUCUCUGGCUUUCUUGAACAGUGAAGCCACGAGAAUCUCGGAUCAGAGUGCCAAGUGGGCCAUUUUUGGUAAGCAGAACUGGCGCUGUGGGAUGAACCAAACGCAGAGUUAAGGCGCCCAACUCGACGCUCAUGGGACACCAUGAAAGGCGUUGGUUGCUUAAGACAGCAGGACGGUGGCCAUGGAAGUCGGAAUCCGCUAAGGAGUGUGUAACAACUCACCUGCCGAAGCAACUAGCCCUGAAAAUGGAUGGCGCUGAAGCGUCGAGCCUAUACUCUGCCGUCAGCGGCAAGUGGGGCGGCCCCGCGUCACCAAGCGCGCGGUGGUCGUCACGAGGCCCUGACGAGUAGGAGGGUCGCGGCGGUGUGCGCAGAAGGGUCU